rnacentral:tRNA from 5 species
GCCCCUGUAGCUCAACGGACAGAGUAGUCGCGUCCUAAGCGAUUGAUGGCGGUUCGAUUCCGCCCAGGGGUA